rnacentral:rRNA from 1 species
AUUUGGGGGAAUAUAUGUUACUAUAUGAGUAUGGGUAUACGGUAAGAUUCUUACUGUACCAAUUGAUUUAGUCAAAUAUAGUUCUAAAUAGGAGAUUGAUAAUGACAGACUUCUAUUUACAUGUCUCGACCAAUUCUUGUGCCAGCAGUCGCGGCAACACAAGUGAGACUAGUGUUAUUCAUCUUUAUUGGGUUUAAAGGGUACCUAGACGGCAUAUUCAGCCCCAAAAGGGUACAGUCAUGCUAGAGUUUAAUGGGAGAGGUAGAUAUUAGAACUAUUGGUGUAGAGAUGAAAUUCUUUGAUACUAAUGGGAUGUAUAAUGGCGAAGACAAUCCUCUAUGUAAAAACUGACGUUGAGGGACGAAGGCUUGGGGAGCGAAUAGGAUUAGAUACCCUAGUAGUCCAGGCAGAAAAUUAUGAGUGUCAUAGACUAAAAAUUUAAUUAGUGUAUAAAUGAAAGUGUAAGCACUCCACCUCAAGAGUAAUGUGGCAACGCAGGAACUGAAAUCAU